AUUGAACGCUGGCGGCAGGCCUAACACAUGCAAGUCGAACGCGAAAGUUCUUCGGAAUGAGUAGAGUGGCGGACGGGUGAGUAACGCGUAGGAAUCUGCCCUGUAGUGGGGGAUAACCCGGGGAAACUCGGGCUAAUACCGCAUACGCCCUAAGGGGGAAAGCGGGGGAUCUUCGGACCUCGUGCUAUAGGAGGAGCCUGCGUCGGAUUAGCUAGUUGGUAGGGUAAAGGCCUACCAAGGCGACGAUCCGUAGCUGGUCGGAGAGGAUGAUCGGCCAGACGGGAACUGGGACACGGUCCGGACUCGUGCGGGAGGCAGCAGUGGGGAGUGUUGGACAGUGGGGGCAACCCUGAUCCAGCCAUGCCGCGUGUGUGAAGAAGGCCUUCGGGUUGUAAAGCACUUUCAGUGGGGAGGAAGGUUCCAAGGCUAAUAUCCUUGGGAAUUGACGCUACCCACAGAAGAAGCACCGGCUAAUUCCGUGCCAGCCGCCGCCGUAAAAC
rnacentral:rRNA from 1 species